CAGCCGCCGCGGUAAUACCGGCGGCCCGAGUGGCGGUCACUAUUAUUUGGCUUAAAGCGUCCGUAGCCGGGUUGGGAAGUCCUCCGGGAAAUCUGGCCGCUUAACGGUCAGAAUGCCGGAGGAUACUCCCAGCCUAGGGAGCGGGAGAGGCCGAGGGUGUUCCCGGAGUAGGGGGGAAAUCCUAUAAUCCCGGGAGGACCACCUGUGGCGAAGGCGCUCGGCUGGAACGCGUCCGACGGUGAGGGACGAAGGCCAGGGGAGCAAACCGGAUUAGAUACCCGGGUAGUCCUGGCUGUAAACGAUGCGGACUUUGUGUCGGACAAGCUAUGAGCUUGUCCGGUGCCGGAGGGAAACCGUUAAGUCCGCCGCCUGGGGAGUACGGCCGCAAGGCUGAAACUUAAAGGAAUUGGCGGG
rnacentral:rRNA from 1 species